rnacentral:tRNA from 1 species
GCGGGGGUUGCCGAGCCUGGCCAAAGGCGGGGGACUCAAGAUCCCCUCCCGAAGGGGUUCGUGGGUUCAAAUCCCACCCCCCGCA